GGGGUAUUGAGUUAUUGUAAGGGGUAUUGAGUUAGGUAGGGGGUAUAGGAGUUAUUGUAAGGGGUAUUGAGUUAUUGUAAGGGGUAUUGAGUUAGGUAGGGGGUAUAGGAGUUAUUGUAAGGGGGUAUAAGAGUUAUUGUAAGGGGUAUUGAGUUAGUUAGGGGGUAUAGGAGUUAUUGUAAGGGGUAUUGAGUUAGGUAGGGGGUAUAGGAGUUAUUGUAAGGGGUAUUGAGUUAUUGUAAGGGGUAUUGAGUUAGUUAGGGGGUAUAGGAGUUAUUGUAAGGGGUAUUGAGUUAGGUAGGGGGUAUUGAGUUAUUGUAAGGGGGCAUUGAGUGACUGUAAGGGGUAUUGAGUUAGUUAGGGGGUAUAGGAGUUAUUGUAAGGGGUAUUGAGUUAUUGUAAGGGGGUAUUGAGUUAGUUAG
rnacentral:lncRNA from 1 species